rnacentral:misc_RNA from 1 species
AACAUCGCGCACCUGCGGGAACCUGCGGAAGGAUCAUUACAGAGUUGCAAAACUCCCUAAGCCAUUGUGAACGUUACCUAAACCGUUGCUUCGGCGGGCGGCCCGGGUCCUUCCCGGCGCCCCUCGGCCCUCGCGGGCGCCCGCCGGAGGUAAACCAAACUAUUGCAUUGUAUGGCCUCUCUGAGUCUUCUGUACUGAAUAAGUCAAAACUUUCAGCAACGGAUCUCAGAUCGGAAGAGC